rnacentral:rRNA from 1 species
AACUUUUGGCAACGGAUUUCUUGGCUCUCGUCACGACGAAGAACGCAGCGAAAUGCCAAACGUUUCAUAAACUGCAGAACUCUGAAUGAUGAAUGUUCGAACGCAUAUUGCGCCCUCCCUACGGGGUUGGCAUGUCCGAUUGAGAAUCAUC